rnacentral:rRNA from 1 species
UACGAAGGGGGCUAGCGUUGCUCGGAAUGACUGGGCGUAAAGGGCGCGUAGGCGGUUUAGCCAGUCAGAUGUGAAAUUCCCGGGCUUAACCUGGGGGCUGCAUUUGAUACGUCUAGGCUUGAGUGAGGAAGAGGGUUGUGGAAUUCCCAGUGUAGAGGUGAAAUUCGUAGAUAUUCGCAAGAACACCAGUGGCGAAGGCGGCUCACUGGCCCGGAACUGACGCUGAGACGCGAAAGCGUGGGGAGCAAACAGG